GCUGACUCACUUUGAUCUCCUGAAUAUCAGUGAAAGUUUCCUCCAAAUUGCACUGAAGAAGACAUUAACGAUCUGUCCACUGACUCACUUCGAUCUCCUGAAUAUCAGUGAAGUUUCUCCCAAACUGCACUGAGGAGGACAUUAACGGCGUCCCACAAGGCUGUGCUCAGUGUCACUGAGAUUGGAACAGAGGCAAUGGCUGUCAAGACCAUGCAGGUGAUGUAUCUUGCCAUGGCUUCAACAAUCAGAAUCGACAGACCCUUUUUAGUUUUCAUCAUAGAGAACUCCAGUGGGAGCAUCCUCUUCAUGGGCAAGAUCAACAACCCAACAGCUGAGUGAAGAAUCCAAGAUAAUCAGUCCUACAUCUCAUCAGUGGAGAAUAGAUUAUUGUAAAAUCAGGACUCAUCUGUAAACACUAGGGGUGGGA